rnacentral:tRNA from 1 species
CCGCUGGUAGCGUAGUGGUUAUCGCACCAGACCGGUAUUCUGGAGGUCGUGGGUUCGAUCUCCCACCCGGCGGG